UACAGAGGAUGCAAGCGUUAUCCGGAAUGAUUGGGCGUAAAGCGUCUGUAGGUGGCUUUUUAAGUCCGCCGUCAAAUCCCGAGGCUCAACUCUGGACAGGCGGUGGAAACUACCAAGCUGGAGUACGGUAGGGGCAGAGGGAAUUUCCGGUGGAGCGGUGGAAUGCGCAGAUAUCAGGAGGAACACCAAUAGCGAAGGCAGCUCGCUGGGACGUGACUGACACUAAGGCGCGAAAGCGUGGGGAGCGAACGAGG
rnacentral:rRNA from 1 species